CAGAGGGGGCAAGCGUUGUUCGGAAUUACUGGGCGUAAAGGGCGCGUAGGCGGCCUGCUAAGUCGAACGUGAAAUCCCUGGGCUCAACCCAGGAACUGCGUCCGAUACUGGUUGGCUUGAAUUCGGGAGAGGGAUGUGGAAUUCCAGGUGUAGCGGUGAAAUGCGUAGAUAUCUGGAGGAACACCGGUGGCGAAGGCGGCAUCCUGGACCGAUAUUGACGCUGAUGCGCGAAAGCCAGGGGAGCAAACGGGAUUAGAUACCCCGGUAGUCCUGGCCCUAAACGAUGAAUGCUUGGUGUGGCGGGUAUCGAUCCCUGCCGUGCCGAAGCUAACGCAUUAAGCAUUCCGCCUGGGGAGUACGGUCGCAAGGCUG
rnacentral:rRNA from 1 species